AGCCUCCGCUAAUAUACGGUUAUGGGACUGCAAUAAUGGGAAGCUCUGCUAGAGAACAUGGCCUUUGGUAUUUAAUUAGUCACAUGUGCAGCUUUUCUUCUACGCAAUAGAUUUUGAAUCUAUAUUUAUUGUUGUAACAACUAGAAGACAAAACCAGAAAAAAGUCUAAUCUGCCUCACUAUUGAGAAAAGCAAGAGCAAAAUCUAACAAACCCAUGUAUAAAUGGGAGAAAGCUAUGAUUUAGGAAAUUUCUUUUUACUCUUAAUACAAGAGGUAAGUUUGGGGGUGGCGGGGGCAGGCAGAACCCAGGAAAUUAGUGUCGGUACCUAUAAAGAACAUUAGCAUAUGUCUGGCUAUGUUUUGUUGGCUGCUCCUGACCUUUCAGCCAUCCUGGGAACUUUCUGAAGGUGAUCUCUGUAUUGCAUAUCUUUGCAGGCAGAGUUUUUCUCUAAAAAUACUUGAUCACACUAGAAAUCCUUUUUUCUUCAUAGGCUUUCCUUUGGUGUGUCAAAGAUUCAAUUGGUGCCACUCAAUUAAUUCCCUGUGUUUCAGUGAAUUCUCUGACUACAUUAUGCUUUUGGGUAAUUGUCUGCAAAAACCCUGUAAAAACAUGUAAUUGGAUUUGUUUGUAUAACUCUUAUGCCAAAAUAUUGCUCCAUGACCUUUUACCAUUGAGAGAGAAUAUUUUUCCUCACCUUGGAAAAAUCUCUGAUGCUGAAAGUUUUAUGGCACCCUACAUUCCUUAUUUUCCUGUUUUAAAAAGUAGUACUGAUUAGUGAUACCUGAAUAUAGUAAAGGAUAAGUUAAGUGCACAGGUUCCAACUCUUAAUAGGGUUUAUAGGGCAUCAGGAAGCUCAUAUAAUACUUUCAAAAAUAACUGCUGGGCCUUUCCCGCUCUUAAAAUUGCAUCCAGAUGUGGCUCUCUAAACAUGGCAGUGGCUUCACAUGCUGAUGUCUGAGGAUGUGUUAAAUCAGAUAAUAGUAGUGAUUUUGGCUGUUGUCUCAUCUGUGAAGAUCAUGUCGUUGAACUUCAUGUUGCUUUCAAGCCAUUCUAGGGCUUUGUUUGUUGCAACUGUUAGUACUUAGGACCUCCUGAAGCAAAGGGCAAUGUGUAUUAAAAGAAUAUUAAUUCUGUUACAGUUUUUACAUUAUUGUAUUGUACUUCAUACUUUUUCAUACAUUUAAUUUCAGUACUUGUGCUUUGUUAUUACAUUCGACAUCACUGUGUCUUUCUGUAGCACCAGCUGUUCUUUUGAUCAAUUCAGUUAACGUUUCUGGGGGUUAUGCCCACCUCAAAUUUCUCCGUGUAUUCACUGAUCUUAGGUGAAGCUCACAAUCUUCUUCAAAAUCACUUCUCUUUUUGAAUAUCACUUCAAGAUAAAGAAAAAGAACAAAACUAGACCCAGACUUCCUUUUUAUAGUACCAUUUCUCUGUAUUCACCAUAUGCAUUUCCUUGGAGAUCUCCUCUUAUCCAUUGCACAAACGUCCAAUGACAAAUAUCUCAAAGGACUGGAACAAGAAAUUUGGAUGCCCAUCCCAGCAAGUAGUGUGUUCCUCUGUGUGGCAUCUCUUAGAGAAUAGUGCUAAACUUUCAACUAAUCUUGACCAAGUUACAGCUGAUAAAAUUCCUCAUCUUUUUAUGAAAUUUGGUCUACAGCUCUUUUUAAGUAAUCUUUUAAACAGCUUGUGAGCCAAGAGCCACCAAUUAGUGGUCAAGCCUUGCUACUCCCAAUUGUUCCAACAGUGUUAAAAGGCUGCUUGACUCACAAGUGGGGGACAAAGUCAGUUUCUUGGCAGUACCAGCUGGCAUUCCAUUGUGAACUAAUUGCAGCAUGUCAAGAUGGAGCAGUCACAGAUCAUCCAGUGAGACAUGAAGGCUCUUCAGUUUCUUAGUGAAGACAGCGUAAUCAUGGAAUUUAUGGAAACAAGACAUCGGAAGGGUGAAGUUGAGGAAGGUGCCAAAGUAAUACUUCACCACAAAUGUCCAAGAGAUGACAGGCAGUGAUUUGAAGUAAAACUUCUCAAGAUAGGAGAUUUCCUCUUCUUUCAAGAACAUUGGAGAUGUUGUGAUGACUUUGAGAUGGGACAAAAAAAGUCAAAAGAAAGCAAAGUAAAAUGAAAAUGUAGCUGAGAGAAUAGAACAAAAUCAGGGCCAUUGUUGGAAACCCAGUCCAGGAAAUCUUGGAGUGCUGGAAGAGGAGAAAAUGUUUCAUGAACACUGGGAUUGGAAGUCUGAGGGCAUGGAAGUUCCUGGAAUAUAUCAAGAACGCCAUCCUCAACCUGAACAGGCUUAAGCUACCAUUCUAUGUAGAUGUGUUUGAUUUCCUGGACACCAUCACUGACAUAUGACGAUGAGGUGCUCAUCAGUAUACUGACCACGAAGGUGCAGAAAUAAACCUGAGAAAAUGAGAUUCUACAUGCCCAUUUGGGGAAAGAGCUCAAGAAACUAAGUAGGAAGUUGAAACAAUUGAGUCCAAAGCGUAGGCAUGGGCUCAGGAAUGGUAGCCAAGGGCGAUUACGUUGCAAGAAUUUGCUGUUGGGCUUCCUGCCUUUCUUAUCUUGCAGUGAUGGACUUACCAGGGAUAUUGCAGACUGAAGAUUGAGUGAACAAGGACAUCAGUGUCUUCAGUGGUUUCUCCUAGAUGUUUGCUCUAUUAGUGCCUGCGCACAACAUUCUUCAUCUGUGGCUGCUGAAACUUUUCUGCCCUACAUGUAUUCUCAUCCCCAGUUUUUGAUGAUGAGCUGGAGUUCAUAGUGUAUAGUGUAGAGCUGAAUGUUAUUGUUUUGGAAGUCACAAAAACCACAGAAGAUCUUCAGAAACAGCACUGCUGAAGCCUACUGCAAAUAGCCGAGAAAAGCCAGUGUACAGUUGGUCAAUGGAAAAUCUCUACUAUUGGAGAACUUUGUGAGUUGAAGUGGAACAGAAGGAAAACUAUUUUCAGCCUUAAAGAAUGACUAGUAUUUUUAAUCACAGUUAAAAUCAGUGAGGGUGGAACAUUUUCAGCAUUCCAUCUUCAAAUCUUAAUAAAUACCCCAAAAAACAAACAUAAAAACCUCACUCCCCCCGCCCCCAAACCUCUGCAGCACAUGAUAAUUGCUUUCCUUUCUAAUUGAAUAAAGUUAUUUUUGUUGAUUGUGUUACUUUAAUGGAUCCUUAAGAUUUUAUAAUCUUUAAGAGUCUUUGCAAAGACAGGUUUGAGAUAAACUUGAGUUUUAACUCUUUGAUUAAUUCCACCUCAAGUGAUUACUUUUCUGUGAGAUGGUGGAAUGUCCGUUUAGUAUCCUGUUGGUUCUUAAGAAAAGGUGGAAGUUCUUGGAAUAGGAGGAGAGGUGCUGUAUGAUCUCAAAAGCAUGAGAUUCUGAAGCUGUUCAGUGGGAGGAAGUGCUCAGCACCUGAUAAUUUGUUAGAGGAGAUAUGAAAAAGCUUUCCAUCCUUUUGCUACCACCCACAGUUCUAGUGAUCAUAGUGCUACUUGGGUCAACUAUUGUGCGUGAACUCUUGUGAUGUGAGUCAGACCUUGGCACAGGUAAGAUUGUAUUCUUGAAAUCCCUCUAAAGUUAAAGAAAUACAUAGAUACGUAAGUGAAUGAAUCAGAUGCUUUUACUCAAUGUAACCUUUUCAAGCAGUGUUGUAACAGGUAAACUCCAAUACCUAUAAUCAGCUUCCAAGGAGAGUAGAGUUUCACGUUGUUUGAAUUGGAUCUCUUUAUUGGCUUCAUUCAUUUCUAUAAACCCAUGCCCCCCAAACAUGUUCACCUUUGCUCUAAUGUUCUCGGACAGUCCCAUGUUUUUGCCUCUUGACCCAUCACAGUUCACUUUGCUAGCUCAAGAUUUGUACUGUUGGUCUCCACAAAAACAAAUUCUGCUAGUCUUAUGGAGAAACUGAGGGAGAGUUUUGACAAUUUCAUUCUCUUUAUUGGUCUGACAGUCUUAAUGCUCUUAUCUAUCUGUGGCCCAUCAGCAGUAGGUCUCCUGCAUACAAGGCCUGUCCUCUGAAUAUUAAUAUUCAUAUUGUCUGAUCCUUCUCCACUUGAGGGUACUAAAUUGUUCUUCUCUGAAAAAUGAUUAUUUAAAAAUAUUAUAGGAUACCAUGGUCAUUAUUUUUUUUCAUUUAUUCUCUACCAUCUCUGGAAUGCUAAAUCUUAACCUGAACGGCAAACUGACCCUGGACUUCUGCAUUACAACAGAAGACUAAUGGGGUUGUACCAGUGUAAAUGAGGGCAUAAUCUAGUCACUGAAAUAUUUAUUAUUGAUGAUACAUGAGAGAGAGAGAGAAAAUCCAGCUCCUCUUUCAGACGCCAGGUUGAAUUUGCUGUGCUGGCUGUUCGAGAGGGAUAGGGGGAAUCUCUUAUGUGUAAGCUGAGCAAACUUGGAAUGGAAAUCGUUGAGAAAUGUGGAACCCCACAUUAACUCUUUAAGUUACUUUUCUGAAUGGAACUGCAGUUUAAACCUUUCAGAACACUAAGCAAUUUAUUGUAUGAUAUAGGGGAGAGUAUCUUCCAUCUGUCCACUGGAAGAGUGGAAGACGCAUCUUCCCCUGUCCCCAUGUGUUCCUGCACCCCCAUGUGUCCUUGCACCCACCUGUCCACAUGUCCCUUCCCUCCACUCAGAUACCCACUUCCCCUGUCCCUAUGUGGCUCUGUACCUGCUCCCCAUCCACAUGUGUCUCAGUGCCCCACCCAGCCACCCCCUGUCCCUAUCUGUCCCUGUACCUCCUCCCCGUGUCUCUGUGCUCCCACUCAGCCGCCGUGUCCCUGUACCUCCUCCCCCUUUCCCCAUGUGUCUGUGCCCCCACUUAGCCAUUCUCUGUCCCUAUGGAGCUCUGCACCCCCUCCCUCCCUCUCCCCUGUGGCCCUGCCCCUUCACUCCCAUUCAGCCCCAGCCCCUGUUUGACCCCCCAGCACCUCAUGCUGGCUGUCUCCCCAUCGCCCCUCUCUCCUGACCUGACCGGCACUGCAAAGAAAGCAGGAUCUUUCUCUUCCGUGGCUGGCUGGGAGCUGCUGCUUUGUUCUAUUGACACAAUGCCCUCUGGUGAGUAAAAGGUGGAACUGCAGAAGUGAUUUUCUGCUGGGAGUGGCUGCUAUUCUUCUACCACAGUGCCCUCUGGUGGGCAAAAGGCGGAACUGCAGCAUGUUUCAGCAGCAGCUUUUUUGCACAAAAAAUUAAAAAUAUGCAUGGCUUAUUAAUUAUGCAUGCGCACAGUAGUGCAGAAUUCCCACCGGAGUAGAGAUUUUACUACUGAAAGGGAGAAAUAGAUAAAACUAGACUCACUGAUCAGGGAAUUCAGUAGAAUAAUAUUGCUGUUUGUAUUUGGCAUUGAGAUUCCCCUCUCCUCCAACUUCUUCUGAGAAAUAAAAAUGCUGCAUGGCAUUUCUGAUUAGUGAGACAUUUAUAUUUCAAAAGAUACAGUAGGUGACUUGGAGAAAUGUAUAUGAAGUGUAGGGAAAUUUGCUAUAGAACACAGCAUUCAACAUCACUAGAUAAUUGAA